UACGGAGGGUGCGAGCGUUGUCCGGAAUCACUGGGCGUAAAGGGCGCGUAGGCGGCCUGAUAAGUCGGGGGUGAAAUCCUGCGGCUUAACCGCAGGGCUGCCUUCUAAACUGUCAGGCUAGAGCACGGUAGAGGCAGAUGGAAUUCCCGGUGUAGCGGUGGAAUGCGUAGAGAUCGGGAAGAACAUCAGUGGCGAAGGCGACUUCCUGGCCUGUUCUUGACGCUGAGGCGCGAAAGCUAGGGGAGCAAACGGG
rnacentral:rRNA from 1 species